GCUCACUCCGUCACGUCCCGCGGGUCAGAGCGCAUCUACACGUACGCCCGGCCUCCUCUUCAAGUGACGCGAGUAUAACUAGCCACCCAUAGCGUGGACGCGGAAACUUUCCAAGGUGCGCAACGGCCUCUGCCCCGAUCCCGGAGCAGAGCAACAGAUAGAACCCUUCCUUCCUCUCCCGAGAUCGAUCGACGCCGGUAAGAUGCUGCCGUACGCGACGGCCGGCGAGGCGGAGGCGGCGCUCGGCCGCGCCCUGACGUGGGCGGAGGCCGCGUGGCUCCGCUACUCGGCGUCGGUGCCGGACCGCUACCUUCACUGGCCCAACAUCGCCAUCACAUUGGUCGUCUACACGCUGGCGCCGCUGCCCCUCGCCCUCUUCGACCUCGCCGCGCCGGCCGCCGCCGCACCGUACAAGCUGCAGCCCAAGGUGCAGCACCCGCCGGCCACCUUCUUCCGCUGCUACAUGGACGCCGUUCGGGUCUCGCUGCUCAUCAUCGGACCAUACCAACUCAUCUCGUAUCCUGCCGCCAAGAUAAUGGACAUACGGACGGGACUUCCAUUGCCGUCAAUGGGGGAGAUAGCGGCACAACUGACGGUAUACUUCUUGGUGGAAGACUAUCUGAACUACUGGCUCCAUCGGCUGUUGCACACAAAAUGGGGCUACGAAAAGAUCCACCAUGUUCACCAUGAGUUCACGGCACCUAUGGCGUAUGCCGCAUGGUAUGGACACUGGGCUGAGAUGCUCAUCCUUGCCGUGCCCUCCUUGGCUGGCCCUGCUCUCGUCCCAUGCCAUGUUACCACGCUGUGGAUUUGGUUUGCUGCACGUUUGGUUGAGAGCCUCAACAUACAUAGCGGAUUUAAGUUGCCAUUCAACGCUGAGAAGUAUAUACCGUUCUAUGGAGGGGCGGAGCACCAUGACUACCAUCACUACAUAGGAGGACAGAGCAAGAGCAACUUCGCUCCUGUUUUCACCUACUGUGAUUAUAUUUAUGGAACGGACAAGGGCUACAGAUAUCACAAGGCAACUCUGGCAAAGCUGAAGGAGUUGGCAGGCAGCGACGUUCAGAAAGGAGUCGACAAUGGAUUCAACAAUGGAAAGCAGGACUAGAGAGAGGUUGGCUUCAGAGGACUCAUGGUCAUACAAAUCCUAUCACUAAUUCAAGUGGUCUCCGGAUAUAUAUCCCCAUGAUGGAGUACACUAGCAUAAAUAAUUGUUCUAUGCCAAUCAUCAACGUUGAGUGGCUCGUGAACCACCGGCAGAGUCGUUCCAAGUGUUAAUUAUUUCCAGUUCUCCAUUCGUACACAUAGCUCCACUACUUCUCUAUUAUCGAAUGUAAUAAUGAUGCUUAGUUCGUGAUAUGCUUGAAAGUGUGCUUCUUUGCAUACUACGUGACAUGUCUCUAGCAAGCAGGCAUGUGGGAACCGUCAAAUAUGGAGACAAUAGUCGAGAGCAUUUGCGUUUGUACUUCCAAUAUCAGAUGUUGUACAUAAUUGGACAAUCUAUCUUUUUCCCUAUAUUUACGAUAUAUGUUGUCUUUCGGUGAUCAGUAUUUUUUUGUGAGGUUUUCUUUUGGGGGAAUUUUCG
rnacentral:rRNA from 1 species